UACGAAGGGGGGCUAGCGUUGCUCGGAUUUACUGGGCGUAAAGGGCGCGUAGGCGGACAGUUUAGUCAGAGGUGAAAGCCCCAGGGCUCAACCUUGGAAUUGCCUUUGAUACUGGCUGUCUUGAGUACGGGAGAGGUGAGUGGAACUCCGAGUGUAGAGGUGAAAUUCGUAGAUAUUCGGAAGAACACCAGUGGCGAAGGCGACUCACUGGCCCGUUACUGACGCUGAGGCGCGAAAGCGUGGGGAGCAAACAGG
rnacentral:rRNA from 1 species